AGGGGUAUAGCCAAGUGGUAAGGCAACGGGUUUUGAUCCCGUCAUGCCCUGGUCCGAAUCCAGGUACCCCUGCCA
rnacentral:tRNA from 2 species